AAGGUUGAUGGUUAAAUUUGACU
rnacentral:miRNA from 1 species